GCGGGGAUGGGCCGGUGUGCGCUUUGGAACCGGUGGGAACAGUUCUGUCCGAGUCCGACCGGGUACCCGGAGGGGAAGGACGGACUAUGGUUCCCGACGCCCCGCGCGGCGGACGACCCCGGGCGAGUCCUCCCGCCGUGGCGCGGCCUCCGCGACAGCUCCUUCCCGCGAAACCGUCCUUCUUCCCGGCAGCUGCCCGCGCCUGCUGCGGUCGGUCGGUCCCUCUGCCAGGCCCUCCCCGCGCGGCCCGAAGCCCUGGCUGGGGCGCAGCCGGUGGCCCCAAUCACGGCCGGUAGCAGGCAGCUCCCAAAUCCCGAGCCUUUACCUCUUGAGAGGGGAAAACAGAACUCCUCCCCCGGCCACAGUUCCUGGGUAAAUUCGGGCCCGAUCCUUGGCUCGGACCGAAGCCAGCAGAAGUCUCUCUUUAACGACCCCAGCUCGCUGCCGCGCCAGUGCCUGGCUCAGAAACUUCCCGCGGCUUCCCAGUGCCUGGUUAUACAGUCCAAAUUCUUAGCAUUCGGUACAAGCAUUGUAUGUGCUACCUAGACGCCCGAACUUGACCGGCUGCUUCCAAAAUGUUCAGUAUGGACACUGCAACCGGAAACAACCCUUCCCAGAGAGCAGUCUGGUUCCUCUACAAAUACCGCACCCCUGCCCUUUCUUACACCGUCUGUGGGUCCAGGGAUCCAGACCUGACAGCCGGAUGUCCCGUCGUUGACACCUAAGGCAGGCCAGUAUCUGAGGGACCUGAGGGACCCAUUUACCCCAGAGCGGAAAACAAGGCCGGGGUUUACAGGGAAAGGAGCCACACCUGUUUCAUCAUUGUCAUGGAAACAAGCAAAUGUCUACACUGCAGAAAACGGUGAACAGUGAAUUUGGAACCACACACCUGCCUCUGAAUUCUCAAGUGAGUGGCCUAUUUGAGCUGGUAUGUCCUUAUAAAGGAUUACCUGCCAUUUAGGGGAAAAGUGACCAGAACAGGUCCAAAUCCAUAGGACCUAUGAGGCAGAGAGUAUUUCAUAACAGGUUAUCAGUGGCGUUAUCCAUUUUGGAAAACAAGUAUGUCUUUAGCUUACUCUUAGAAAAAUCGUUUGUGAUCUUCAGGUUUUGGGUUUUUUUUUUUUUUAAUUCAUUUUUUAUCAAACUUCCAAGAAAAACAUGGCAUUUUUCUGUUUGAAUGCCCUUGGGCCUGGAGGGGUGUCUAGAUUCUGGCUUCUGAUGUGGGGGCUUCCAUACAUGUGGGGUCCAGUUCCUUGUUUCGAGGGUCUGGAGGAUCUACUCAAAGUCUCAGUUGUUGCUGAUAGGCAGUAAACUCUCCAAACUAAAACUUUAGGACGUAACAAAAUUCGGAGGUUAGUUAGACUGAUGACUUAAUGUAUUAAUGCAGCCUUCCGCCGAAACGGUUAAUAGAUUUGGUCUAGAAGCCAAGGAGAUUUUUAUCCUAUGAACGUAAAAUGCCAUUUGUUCUUAGAAAGUUCCUAUGUUUUGCUUUACGCCGAGCUGUUCUUUCAUUUGAUGUGCGUCUCUAUAAGAAGAAUAAACCGCGUUACAUUAUAUCUUUUAAAAUCCCUGGGUUUGUUUCAUGGAGCUCUUUGCAGCGCGAACAGUUUAGAAUUCAGACUGCAUCUGAGGAGGUUCGUUCCCGGACCCGUGAUGUCAUGCUAACAGAUGGCCACCAGAUGUCAGUCUUUCCUUGCGUCUUAGACACAAAUGGCCUCGGGAACCACAUUACGCGCUGUUUGCCCGGCGUCCUUGGUGGAAGGCGCUCUGCCGGGCGCGGCUGCCCCGUGACAGGCCCCCGCGCGCGGCCCUAAGCCCCCUGCGCUCCGGGGGUGCCUCCCGCCCCGGGUCACAGCCGUGAUUUGUCCCCUGGGCCGGCGCUCGGCCCGACCCUCCACGUGAUGCGGAGCUGGGCGACGCGAGGCCCUUCCGGGAAGAUGGCGCCCCCUCGGGAAGGGGAAGAGUCGGGUUUUCGAGGCCGGCGUCGUCGGGAGGAGAACGCAGAGCCCGUGUGAGUGUUACGGUGAAGCUCGGCUCGGAAGGACGCACGGCCGUGGGGCCCCUUCACGGGCCCGCGCCCCACGUGGGGAGCUUGGGGGCCGCCAGGCAGCGGGAGCGGCUUAUCCCUGGACGCUCCGUGUGGUGUCGGCGGUGUGGAGACGCGAGGCCGGGGUCUCGGCGGUAAGAGGGAGUGGCUCCCACCCCCGGGGCCGGGCAGGUGGGGCGCGCCGGCAGCGACCCGCACUUUCGCCGGCGGCGCACAAAAGGAGGAGAAUGCACAAUUUCCUCAGCAAGCAGCUCCCCCGGCACUGAGGGCUCACGUUAGGACCUCUGCCUGCUCCGUGUGCUCACUGGACCGUGCAGACGGAGCGUGUGCUCAGGCAGGGCACUGCCCUGGGCUGGGGACGUGCAGAGCUGCUCCCAGGCCUGGCAGACACCUCCCAAGCAGAGACGCUCCGCACCGUGCGUGACACUGGAGGAGCAGAGGGGCACCGCAGGGUCAGAGGCAGGAGUCUCACUGGAUUUCCCGGGCUGAAUCACAGAGGAGAGGAGUCUGAAGUUC